rnacentral:rRNA from 1 species
GACGAACGCUGGCGGCGUGCCUAAUACAUGCAAGUCGAGCGAAUCAAAGGGAGCUUGCUUCUCUGAUGUUAGCGGCGGACGGGUGAGUAACACGUGGGUAACCUACCUAUAAGACUGAGAUAACUCCGGGAAACCGGGGCUAAUACCGGAUAAUAUUUUGAACCGCAUGGUUCAAUAGUGAAAGACGGUUUCGGCUGUCACUUAUAGAUGGACCCGUGCCGUCUUAGCUCGUUGGUAAGGUAACGGCUUACCAAGGCGACGAUACGUAGACGACCUGAGAGGGUGAUCGGCCACACUGGAACUGAGACACGGUCCAGACUCCUACGGGAGGCAGCAGUAGGGAAUCUUCCGCAAUGGGCGAAAGCCUGACGGAGCAACGCCGCGUGAGUGAUGAAGGUCUUCGGAUUGUAAAACUCUGUUGUUAGGGAAGAACAAAUUUGUUAGUAACUGAACAAGUCUUGACGGUACCUAACCAGAAAGCCACGGCUAACUACGUGCCAGCCGCCGCAGUAA